UGAAGCCCAUUCUCCGGAAAACCUUGGAAUCAAACAAAAGGGGAAAGCAACAAGUUGCGCAAAAAAAAAAAAAGGAGCAGAAGCAGCGAGUUUCAGAGAAAAAAAGGGGGAAAAGAGAAGAAGAAGAAAGUUUUGGGCAAAGGCUUUAAGAAGAACUGAGAGUUGAAAUUGAUAAAGCUCUCCUUCGACUCAAGAGGUUAACCUUUUUCUUCUCAUUUGUUGAAUUAUUUCACUUUAUUUAUACAAUUUCAUGUAGUACAAAGGAAUUCAAUAUCAGCUUUCUCUUAUAUAAAACAAAUAUACAAUUAUAUGGAGAUAACAAGGCUAUAAGAGUUUGGUUUAAGCACUGAUAGGUUUAAUUUUAGAGGAGUAAAUUAUACUAAUUAGUUUGAAAUUGAUAGAAUUAUGGACUAGUUCUAUGAUUAAAUAUAAAUUCAGUAAUUUAGACUCAAACAUGAACCCCGAUGAUUGGGUAUUCUAAGUUAGCCAUGAAUUAGCCUAAACAAGAGAAUUAACAUGAGAUUAUAUUGUGUAAUUAUAGAUUAAUUGGAGGAAUUUGUACGAAUUGCUCGAGGUGAAGCAUUUGGUAUUUCGGCACGAGUAUUGUGAAUAGUAAUCUUACCGCAAUUUGUGUUUUCAUAACUUUCAUGAUUUACACAUGAUUUUUAAUAUAAAUAUGUUACCGAUUAUUUUGAGUUGCAUGUGGGACAAGUCUUUUACUCGAUAUGAUACCGAAAUAGUUAUUUGAGAAGAUUACCGUUGUUUUAAAUAUUUUCGUUGUCACUAGAUCUGUUUUACUGUUACUUGAAUUUACUGUUAUCGAAAUGAAAUUAUAUGAUUUGAUAAGAACCGAAAUGCCCUAUAUUGUUUAAAAAUGUUUCUUAUGAGUAUAUACGGGUUACAGAGACAAGUAUAAAUGGGAGUAGACUUUGAAGGAUCCCAUAGCUAACUAGACCUGGUGCACCUUGUAUUUACCGAUUACAGAGUACAGUUAUAGCCCUCGGUGGGAAGGUAGAACUAGCAUACCGUUACCGAUUUUUCCUCGAGUAGAGACUACCGUUAUAUUUGACUUCUUGCGAAGAAGUCUCGAUUACAUGAUCCGUUCAUUGAAACCUCCCAAAUGUGAAUAUUGAUAUUAUACAGUGGUUACCGAGCUUAGUACUGAAUUGUAUUUGUAUUAUACUACAAGAAAAGCAUGAUGAGACUGAAAAUUAUUUGUAGUUUCUGAAAGGACAUUUUUAUGUGAUUUUCUGUUUGAUAUACUAGCAUGUUUUUUGACUUGUCCCCAAAUUAAAACGUUUGUGGUUAAGUGUUAUUACUCACUGAGCUAGCGACUCAUUCUCCGCUAAUUCUUUACAGAGACAACAGUUGACGCAAGCGAGGAUCUCGUUAAUUAGAGCGCACAGGUUGAGAAUUCUUGGUGAGCCUCGCACUUGUUCGCGUGGGCGGAGAUUUUUAUCAAUUGUUAUGGUCUUUUCUUUGAAUUCUUAGAGUCGCUCCAUAGUCAUUCUUUUAGUGUCAUGAGUAUGAUUUUGCUAUUAGUCUUAUGUCGAGUAUCGUUCUUUAUUAUCAAAGUCGGAGAUAAAUUAGUAUUUCUGGUUGUUAGUGGGUUGAUUAGUAAUGGUGAAGACUAUUUUGGUUAAUUGAUAAGUUGUCAAUUGUUUGAAUUGCUAUUAGGAUGUUUGGUUGCUGAUUUGAG
rnacentral:lncRNA from 1 species